GAUGAACGCUAGCGGCAGGCCUAACACAUGCAAGUCGAGGGGCAGCACAGGUAGCAAUACUGGGUGGCGACCGGCGGAUGGGUGCGUAACGCGUAUGCAACCUACCAUUGAUUGGGGCAUAGCCCGAAGAAAUUCGGAUUAAUACUCCAUAAUAUUCAUCAAAGGCAUCUUUUAUGAAUUAAAGCUUUUGCGAUCAAUGAUGGGCAUGCGUGACAUUAGUUAGUUGGUGAGGUAACGGCUCACCAAAACGAUGAUGUCUAGGGGUUCUGAGAGGAUUAUCCCCCACACUGGUACUGAGACACGGACCAGACUCCUACGGGAGGCAGCAGUGAGGAAUAUUGGUCAAUGGGUGCGAGCCUGAACCAGCCAUCCCGCGUGCAGGAUGACGGUCCUAGUGAUUGUAAACUGCUUUUCUAUGAGAUGAAUAAGAAUUUACGUGUAGUUCGAUGACCGUAUUAUAAGGAAUAAGC
rnacentral:rRNA from 1 species